GACGGAGGAUGGGUGAUUGUCUUAUCAUCGUUCCUCUAUAAUGUCCUGGUACUGGGAUACCACAACCUCUUCGGAGUGUACCUCAUCAGUCUCCUCAAUGAGUUUGGGGAGACAAGUUCUAAAACAGGCAAAUUACACUAAGCUCACAUACCGUUAAUAACAUAACGUUUGUCAUCAGACUGAAACAAUUUCACAUUACACUGUAAACUCAACUGUUGUAACUUCACAUUACAACAACUAUUUUGUAUUUCAAUAGAUUGUGAGAUCAUAUGUGUAAAUGGUGAUACACCUGUAAUUAACAAGUAGUUACCAAACUGCACAAAUGACCUGCUGCUGUACCUACAUGUUUUACAUGGAAACCUGCUAGCUACCUAACCUUAAGACCCACUCUCUGCUGGCCUGUAGCAUGGGUUGGCUCCAUCAGCUACGGCUUCAUCUGUGUGCCCCUGUCUGGGAAGCUGACAGUCAGGUACGGGGCCAGAGAGUUCUCCAUUCUAGGAUCCCUCAUCAUCAUGAUCUCCAUAGUAUGCUCGUCAUAUGCACCCAAUCUAGGAACGCUGUUCUUCACACAUGGCUUCCUCAGUGGAGUGGGCUCCAGCUUUGCCUUCACCCCAGGUUGGUACAGGGGAGGGAGGAAAUUAGCUAGCAGUUAGUUACACUAUGGAUUCACUGACACUUCCAUCCAUAACUUUUCUAGUUCAUAUUGUAUCUUGUUAGAGGGUAAGCUACAUUGUUAUAUACUCAAGGCCACGACAGCUAACACAUUAUCUCACCUCCAUCUCCCACCCCCUCCUGUGGAGCAGGUAUGAUCAUGGUGAGCCAGUACUUCAACUCCAAGCGUUCCCUGGCCACAGGGAUAGUGAUGUCAGGGGGAGCAGCAGGGGCCCUGGUCCAGACCCGGCUCCAUCUGUACCUAAAUGACACCCUGGGCUGGAGGCAGGGUCUCCAAGUGUUCUCAAGCCUCAUGAUUAUCUGUGUCAUCACUGGCUUCACCUAUCUGCCACUCAACCCCAAAGGUACUGCAGGGUAUUCAAACCCAUAACAGCUUUAAUUUAUUGAGCAUACAGUAAUGGGACCAUUUACCCCAUCAUGACUGAGCACACCCUUGUGUACCCUUUCAAACAGAAAUGUGAUAUAUUCAAAAGCUACAGUAUGUGUUUCUGAUGGGCUAUGAGGGAUUUAAAUUUCAAAUGUCUUUGAAAGGGGUUACUAGAAGUGUGGUGGAUAAUUUAAAGAACUCUCCCUUGAAGAAGUUUCUUGUGGUCCUUGGUCCGUGGAAAGAGUCUUUCUAAUCUGGGUUGCAGCCAAUGGACUGUGUAAAUUCGGAUUCUUCAUUCCAUAUGUCCACUUGGUAAGUUACAUACAGAUGUAAACAACGGAAGGCUCAGCUGCAACGGUACGACGUUAUAGUUUGGAAACAUUCUGUAAUUUGACUCAUUCUUUUAGGGAAGAAAUGCUAUUGAAAUGUAAUAAUCUGAUAACAAAUACCCUUAGUACUACCUGUACAGGAUACAUAUAGUAAAUAGAUAGAUACCUGUAUGUGUGUGUUUUUGGUUUUACUGGGGACGAGAAGUCCUCACAAGGAUAGUAAAACAAGGAGAAUUCAGGGACAUUUAGAGGGGUAGGUUUAAGGUUAGGGUUAGAAGUUAGGGUUACGCAAUAUAGGAUUUUGAAUGGAAAUCAAUUAUUUGGUGCCCACAAGGAUAGUAAAACAAACAUGUUUGUGUGUGUGCUUGUGUGUCCUGCUCUAGGUGAAGCAUGCUGUUCAGCUGGGCAUCCCAGUCCACAGUGCCACUAACAUCAUACUGUUCCUGGGCUUGACUAGCAUGGUCAGCCGGAUCAUCUUUGGCAGGAUCUGUGACUCAGAGAGAAUCAACAGGCUGUACUUCAACCAGGCCUCUGUCUUUUGUGUUGGUCUGCUGUACAUGUUGAUCCCACUUCUCAAAUCCUACGGCUCUCUGGUUGAUUUGGCUUGUUCCUGGGGAUUGCUGAUGCUGGCAACUACAUCCUACUCCCUGUCCUGACCUUUGACCUGAUGGAGCCGAGAAAAUGCCCAUGGCCCGGGGGUUCAUGCUCACGGUGAACGCUGUCAGCUGCUUGGGGCCGCCCUUCGCUGAUCCUCUCAAGCUCUGUCAGGUUGGAUGGGGAGCGUUGCUGAACAGCCAUUUCCAGGUCUCUCCAGAGAUGUUCGAUCUGGUUCAAGUCCGGUCUCUGGCUGGGCCACUCAAGGACAUUCAGAGACUUGUCCCAAAGCCAAUCCUGCAUUGUCUUGGCUUUGUGCUUAGGGUCGUUGGGUUCACCUGUUGGAAGGUGAACCGUCAUCCCAGUCUGAGGUCCUGAGCGCUCUGGAGCAGGCCCUCAUCAUGGAUCUCUCUGUACUUUGCUCCGUUCAUCUUUGCCUCGAUCCUGACUAGUCUACCUGCCCCUGCCGCUAAAAAAAUAUCCCCACAGCAUGAUGCUGCCACCACCAUGCUUCACCGUAGGGAUUGUGCCAGGUUUCCUCCAGACAUGAUGCUUGGCAUUCAGGCCAAAGAGUUCAAUCCUGGUUUCAUCAGACCAGAGAAUCUUGUUUCUCAUGGUCUGGGAGUCUUUAGUUGCCUUUUGGCAAAUUCCAAGCGGGCUGUCAUGUGCCUUUUACUGAGGGGUGGCUUCCGUCUGGCCACCCUACCAUGAAGGCCUAAUUGGUGAAGUGUUGCAGAGAUGGUUGUCCUUCUGGAAGGUUCACAAAUCUCCACAGAGGAACUCUAGAGCUCUGUCAGAGUGACAAUCGGAUUAUUGGUCACCUCCCUGACCAAGGUCCUUCUCCCCUGAUUGCUCAGUUUGGCCGGGCGGCCAGCUCUAGGAAGAGUAUUGGUGGUUCCAAACUUCUUCCAUUUAAGAAUGAUGGAGUCCAGUGUGUUCUUGGAGACCUUUAAUGCUGCAGACAUUUCUUGGUAGCCUGCCCCAGAUCUGUGCCUCAACACAAUCCAGUCUAGGAGCUCUACAGACAAUUUAUUUGACCUCCUGGCUUGACUUUUGCUCUGAUAUGCAUUGUUAACUGUGGAACUGAACUAAGCGGAUUCAUAUAGCCCUCUCUCUCUGUGCGGGCUAUGACCUGCUUCCAUGAACUACACAGGGACCUGCACAGAUAUCUUCCAUAAUGGCUCAUAGUCCUAGACUGCCAAGGAGUCAGAGACCCCAUUUGGUCUACAUAGAACUACACUGAGACAUCCUUCCCAAUCUCCACUCUCACUUCCUGUUUAUCCAGAUCAAGUGAUCUCUUAUGCUUGGUUAAUACAAAAUCCUCAUCGUCUAAACUAUGGGUCAAGUUACCACCUUCUGCAUUCUCGGGAUGGGUCAUGGUGUAUUUAGGAAUAUUGCUCCCACAAUAAGAUAGCUCAGACCAAUCAGCACUCCUGUAAAGCCCCACUCUUUCCCGGAGAACAUAUCCUCAGCUAGAGGCCAGCCCAUACUUUCACUUCUAUGAACGCACACAGGAAGGAUAGGGCUGGUUCAGGGAAUCUUCGUUAGAGAGGUAACCUCCGAACCCUAUUGCAUUCGGUUCUUCUCCUAACUCUGUGAUUGUUCGACAGUGUCAGUGUGUCUUACCCUCUUGCAAUGUUGUCCAUGUUCCUUUUUCUAUAUUAUGUUUUGCGUUUGGCCUGGUGUGGUUCUCAAUCAGAGGCAGGUGUCGUUAGCUCUUGCAGCUAUUCUCACCGCGAAGGCUGUCACCAGGAGUACUUGGUAUGGCCCCUCCCAACAUGGCUGCUUCCCAUCUAUUCUCAUCAGGGACAGGAUUGAGUGAAUCACCUUCUCCUGUAAUUCACAUGUAGAGCAUAAAAUCUUGGACAUACUGGUUUUGUUAACAAACAGUCUUCUCAUGUGUUCUGCUAGUAUAUCUUCAACUUCUAUGCCUAUUUAUUACAAAAAAUAAUAUUUUAUUAGUUUAUUAUUCAAUAGGCCACAAAGUGUCCUAUCCUAGGCCCCACCUAGGCCACAACUGCCUAGCCCCUCCUAGGCCACAACUACCUAUCCCCCCUUUGAUACCUGGCUCAGCCCAGGUAUCAACGUUGCCGAUUAGUACAUUUUCCUUAUGUCUGCCAUUAUCUUGUAGGAGCGCUCCUUUCAUUCUCUACAUGUCCAAUUCUCCCCGGGGCGUUCCGUCAUGGCCAUCAUGUAACCAUUCUCUGUCAAGUGUCUUAUCUACUUUAAGAGUUAUCCGUGCUGCUCUGUAUGGUCUUAGAUGUCUAUGUGCUUGUCUAGGGCACUAGUCAAUGCGACUAUUUCGGCCUGUUUGUGCAGAAUUUCUGGGCAAUGUUUCCGUGUUUAACACCAUAGUUCCUGAAACCAACUAAGCUUUCAUUCCCCUUUUGUCUCCACUCAGUAACUGUUAUCUACCCAUUCUGUGUCACUCCUAUCUUGCUGAUUUCCUAGCCUCCCUUCCACACCUUCUCCUCUCUGCUCCCAAACCUUCAAGGUCUCCGCAAUGCAGGGAGGGCUCCUCCGUCUGCCCUUUCUCCUAUCUGUCUGUUGCUCUUUCUCACAACAAUCAGUAUCAAAUACGGGUUGUUUCCAAAUCUUGACUAAGUGUCUUGCUGUUUGGCAUUAUCUGAACUCAUGGUUUUUAGAAAAAACAUGUCUAUGGUGGCAAUCUCUAAAGUAAUUACAUAGGUUGAUUAAGGUCCUAUCCUGAAUCACCACAGAUGUCAUAUAUCCCUGUCCUGUUGGCCUGGAUUAGGUUCUAAAUACUUAUUAACAUAAAUCUAGCAUUAAUCCAAGGCUAUGCCAUUUCUUUCUUCUCAGUGGUUCAAAUUACAACUCUGUCAAAGAACUAUAAACUCGUUCAUAAUUAUCAAUUACCUUAAAAUCAGUAUCACAAAUUACCUCUAAUUAUUCAAAUGGCCCUCCCAUGAGGCUGAUCAGACCACAACGGAAAGCCAUGAUAGAGGUCAAAGGUCAUACCACCCUUUUACAGUCGGGUUCCAUACUAUAUUAGACAAAUUAAAGAAAAAUCCUCAAACAUUUUCUACAUGUUGUAUCCCAGGUUCCCAGUACAUUCCCUUUAUCAAAAGAAUGUUUAAUUAAAACUCAGAAAAUAAAACUUCUAAUAUUCCAUAUGUGUGUACCCCUUUAAGAUAUCGUCUCUAGGAAAUCUCCUCAAACCCAAAGGCUAGAAACAAACAUAACAUUACAUUUACCGACCUGGCAUGGUUCCAUGUAAUGGAAACAGAUUAUAAUGUUUAGACUACAUUAACUUUCUGUUCAAAUUCACUGGUGUUACCUAAACAAUCAAACCAAGAAUCAAUAACCGGAAACUAUCACAAAACUUUUACGAUUAAACUAUUCAGACCUCUCUUACAGCCAAAUACAGCCCAGUGAGCGCCACCAACAGUGAUGUCCACCUAGCAAUUUUGUUGCUAGUUUAAGCUUCUUUUCAGACUACCCAGUAGUACGGGUUCGACAAGCCAAACCCAAUGAAUAUAGUUGGUCACGAAUGUUUAGUCUUGAACAGAACUUACAACAUCAAUCAACAUCUCAAUCAAAAUUGUACUGCCAGAAGUACAGAAAAGAGUGUGAGUCUGUACCUGAACAACUGUCAAAUCAAUUUGAGUAACGUUAUUGUGUAUUCUACGCAAUGAAGCAGUUUUACGUUAUCAUGCAAUGAUAUCACGUCAUUUUGCAACAAAUCAACCUGCCUCCAGCAACUUACCCUGAAAAUUAGUAGGCAACUGUCACGUUCUGACCUUAGUUCUUGUUGUUAUGUCUUUGUUUUAGUAUGGACAGGGUGUGAGUUGGGUGGGUUGUCUAUGUUCUUUUUUCUAUGUUGUGUUUUGCGGUUGGCUUGGUAUGGUUCUCAAUCAGAGGCAGGUGUCGCUAGUUUUCUCUGAUUGAGAAUCAUACUUUGGUAGCCUUUUCCCACUUGUGUUUCGUGGGUGAUUAUUUUCUGUUAUGUGUAUGUCACCUUUCCGAACGGUUUUGUUUCGUUUAUCCUUUGUUAUUUUGUUUAGUGUUCUCGGUUUAAUAAAUAUAUGAUAAACACUUACCACGCUGCGCUUUGGUCCUCACCUUAUUCCAACGACGAUCGUGACAGCAACACUGCAAUCAACUCUCUUAUUCCUGCCUCUAGGCAAAAAUAUACCCCCUACUCAAACUGAGUACUGCUUUAAUUCUAUCCUAAGAGUAAAACCAAACUUUCCAACUUUCUCUACUCCAAAAUGCAAAAGUACCAUGUACUUCGCUUAGUUUAUAAUGUAUGUUAGUCAAUCCAUAAGAAUAAAAACAUUUCGAUGGGCACAACUCCAUCGUAAGUAUCUCUCUGUUAUCAUUUAGAAGUCAUUAGAUUUAGGUAACUGUCUCUUCUAUGAUUCAGCAUUUUAAAUACGACUCCAUUCCCAAUACGUUAUUCCAGCGGACUAUUUAAGCAAGACAACGUAUUCCAUCGAAAUCGCCCCGCUAUUAUUUAGAAUAGAUGGGUCUUUCAAUGUAACCUAAACAAGCAUUAAAACGUUCAGUUUAUAUCUUAAACAAACACUAACUAACCGUAUCUCUCCCGGCAAAACAUAUCAAUAUUUGAAUUACAAUCAGAAUGAAGUCUAUCGGUGCCAAGGCUGAGAUACAAACCCGAGUGGCAGACACAAAUUUUACCGCUGAACCACCGUCACUAUUGGAAUGACGGAGUCUCCCCGCAGACAACCCUAUUAUUAUAUUUGUCUGUAGUCGCAAACUCCGGCACGCACUACCGAGACCAUUCCCAGAAAAUAGCCCUAAUUUAAAAGGUCCAAGCGUUUCCCCACCGAGGAUUCACAUUAAUCUCGCUCUCCUUGUCUCUGCAUCACUCUUUCUCUUCCGAUUGUCACGCCUGUCCUUCCCCUUAGUUGAAUUACAAUCCUGGUGGUUGUGUCCUACCUGGUUACAAGGUUUACAGGGAUCCUUACCCUCCCGGGCGAAAUGUCCUGUCUCAUUGCAAUUGAAAAACCGCUUCUCUCUGUAUCUGUCAUCGCAUUUCUCUGUUUUCCCCCUUCAGUUUAAAAUCUUUCCUGCUCUUUCCCUUUUUAUCCUGUUUGCAAUCUCGGUGAUUAUGUCCCUUCUUAUCGCAAUGUUUACAUGGGACCUCACAUUCAUUAGCAAAAUGUCCGUAUUUCUUACAAUUAAAAAAACAUUUGAUGUCCUUUUUCUUUUCUCCCUCAACUCUCUUCCUCGUCUCGGCUAACCAUACCCUCGCUGUGUCUAGCCCCUCUGCCCGUUGUUUAUCUGCCUUGUCUCCACAAACCCGAUUUAUUUGUUUAAUCAUUGAUUCCAGUUUUUCUAUAUUUAAACGUCCGUCAAAUUCGUACUUACUCCUCCAUAUCUGGCCAAAAUAGGUGUUCCUCUUAUCUUUUCCCUGCAUAUAUUUCUCGCCUCCCGUUAAUUCCGGGACCUCCUUUGAGGAUUUACUACCCAUGUUUAAUAAAACCUUGUAGUUACUAUGAUAUUCUCACAAUCUAUGUGUAUGUAUUUCUAUGAUCUAUGUAUAUGCUCUUUUUACCGUUAUCCAAUCACUAUAGUUGUUCUACAGUAUAUUCUCUCACUCUAGGUGUAUGGAUAUCAAAGAUCUAUGUAUGUGCCGUUUACCGUUACUAUAGUUGCUCUGCUGCCUGACUAUGUAUGUGUCUCUUUAAUCUCUUAUGCUCACAAUCUAUGGGUAUUUUGCUAUCUCAAUGUGUGUUUCUCCUUUCUGGCAUCCUUAUCUAUAGAGGUGCAGUUAUUGGACAUGAAAUCUUACCCGUACAACUACACGCUAUUUCCCAGGGGUCGUAAAGUCCCAGUUCACAACCUAUUUUCUGUUGUGUCAAAGGACUUUUAAAGUUAAUAUCUCGUAGCUUACUCCGCUAUAUUAGGCUUCCCUGCAAUUUCUAGAAUCUAUUUCAGUAUUGGUUAUUGAAUUGGUUGGGUUAUCCUGUUCGCAUAGAAUUACCGUCUAUUUCACAAAGACAAAACCCAGUUUAUAUCCUCGCCGUAUAUCAACCCGUUUUCAUGAGGACUUUAUUUAGGUAUGUCUUUUGAAUUAGAUAUAUGGCUAAUAUUACAUGUUAAUUAACCAUUUAAGUUAUCCUAUUUGUACAGAAAUCCCUGUCCUAUCUCACAACACCUAUUUAAAUCCGGCUUUAACAAACCUUGCAGGCCAUCACAAAUGUGGCCAGAUCUAUUAAGCUAGCUUUAUUUCAUGGUAGUGCACAUGUACCUCAGGUCAUUGCUGACAAGUACAAUUAGUUAACUAUCGAUGUACACAAGGUGACGCUUGGUGAUAUCUUAAAUCAUUCCCCCAAAUUCGUGAAUAAAGAUUACUGACCUUGUCUUGAAGACUGGGAAAAGCAAUGUAGGUUGGAUCUCGUCACCACCUCUGUCGUGUACCAGUUCACCACUGGCCUGAAAUAAACCCUCAAUUCAGAGGUCAGGUCUUUGUUUUACGGAUCCUGGAUCCGCCCGUGCACGGUUUUCAGCAGUUCCUUGGGACGACAGAGGCAGGUAUUGAAAUCCUGCUCGAAGGACCAAAUUGUCACGAGAAUUAUGUUCUCAAUGUUCAUAAACCCAAUUGAAUUAAUUACUCAGCCUGAAAGCCAGAAUUUGUAAGAAACUGGUUGAAAUGAAUCAGAAGGAGGCCCAGUUACAAUAGUCAGAAAAUGUAUUUACGAGAGCGCGCUAGCCUGUUGUACAAAACAAUUCAUUUUAUACUGGCUUCUCACGCACACCUUCACACAAACAUACUUCCACACAAAACAGAAGGUAUCCGACGCACAUACUGUCUCACUACCCAGCCGACAGAGAUUAGGGAGACCUUGUCCUUGAGACGUCCCGUUCUCUCCCAAAUCUCUAGUCAAUUCUGCACCGAAUAUGUCCCGUUCUCUCCCAAAUCUCUAGUCAAUUCGGCACCGAAUAUUGCUCAGACAGUCUGUGCUCAAGACACUAUAAUAGACAUAGUUUGACUGACUAAAACUACACACAUCAUUAAUUAUAACUUUGUGAUUCUAGUCAAUUUCUACAAUUAUAUGGUUUCUGAGUGGAGUAUUCUAAUCAUUCCUUUAAAGCUAUAAAUUCCAUCAACAGGAACUUAAUGUAGACAGGUGUGUGCCUUUCCAAAUCAUAACGCACCAAUUUGUAAGUCGCUCUGGAUAAGAGCGUCUGCUAAAUGACUUAAAUGUAAUGUAAAUGUAUGUCCAAUCAAUUGAAUUUACCACUGAUGCACUCCAAUCAAGUUGUUGAAACAUUUCAAGGAUGAUCAAUGGAAACAGGAUGCACCUGAGCUCAAUUUUGAGUCUCAUAGCGAAGGGUCUGAAUACUUAUGUAAUUAAGUUGUUUAUGUUUAAUACAUUUGCAAACAUUUCUAAAAACCGUUUUUUUGCUUUGUCAUUAUGGGGUAUUGUGUGUAGAUUGCUGAAGAAAAACAAUUAUUUAAUCAAUUUUAGAAUAAGGCUGUAACGUAACAAAAUGUGGGAAAAGUCAAUGGGUCUGAAUACUUUCCGAAGGCCCUGUAUAACUAGGAAUAAAGUGACAGAUAAUUAACAGUAGCAGCAGCGUAUGUAAUGAGUCAAAAAAGUUUGUGCAAAAAGGGUCAAUGCAGAUAGCUAUUUGGUUAACUAUUUAACUAACUAUUUAGCAGUAUUAUGGUUUCGGAGGAAUGGAGUGUUUGACCAUUUUUAGGGCCACCUUCUGAUACCGCCUGGUAUAGAGGUCCUGGAUGGCAGGGAGCUUGGCCCCAGUGAUGUACUGGGCCGUCCGCACCAACACUGUUGCACUCUGCGGUCGAAUGCCAAGCAGUUGCCAUGCCAAGCAGUUGCCAUAACAACAUAUUUUGUUUCAUUGUACAUUAUUGAUGGCGCAAGUUUAUCCUGACCACGUGACUCAACCAAGAAAAAGGUUAUGGUCAGGAAAAACUACUAGUCUUAAUGAUAAAAUGUACAUUUACUCAUAAUAUUUCAAUAUCAAUUGUCAAAUAGGAGGAGCCAACAGUGUCCACAUACGUGAAUUACUUCUCUAAGACUAUGUUUCGAAGUCCAGAGAUUGUUGACAGUAGACCUGAGGUGUACAGUGGAGAUGAUGCCGAGACAGCAGGACCUGCUGAAGUCACCCAGCUUUAGUAGCUUCAACACCACCAACGUUCUGUCUCAGCACUGUAUAGGAGAGAAGAAAUGUAUCUUUUCACUAAGGGGAGCAAAUACAAUAAUGUAUUAAUACAGAACUCAGUUAUGGCUGAUAUUAUUCGUCAAUUCAUCUGUUUUCAUUCAAGAGAGAAAUGACAAGCACAGGGCAUUGUGACAGUGUUACUUACAAUCAUUACUUACAAUCACUGUCCAGUAGUUGGUGCUUCUGUAUCAAGAAAAUCUCAUUAUUAUAAGGAUAAUAAUUGGUCAGUGAUAAGGACCUCUCCAUCCAUACUGCAAAACACACUAUAGAAAAUGAUACUGAAACUUUUUUCAAACACUAAAUAUUUUAUUUGCAGCACUUAGUUUUGACUCAAAUACAUCAUCCAACAGUUAGUUAGCUGUUAUUUAAUAUGCUAAUUAGCAGUAAGAAAGCCUUCAACCAACACUGUACUUUCAAGCAUUCAUCAUCCAAAACCAACAGUCUGUAAAAGCUUCACUACACACUGACGGCAGCCAGCAAAGUACCAGACGAAUAAGUCCACAUCUACUCAGUCAUCACAGUUACAACAGCCUCUCAAGGAUACUGUUACCAGAAGUAGUAGUAGCAUUUUGUUCACCAAAUAAAUUCCACUGAAUCAAUCCAACGUAUUAACAAAACUCCCAAUUGGUGUAUUAUUGCUAAAAGCAAACAAAUAUGUCAAAUUCCUAAGAAUGCGCAAGGAGAUGGAGUGCUAUUGGACCCAUUUCCAAUAUUGUAAAUGUAAAAGGGAUUAGGCAUAUUUUAACAGAACAGAACUGAGCUGAAGUUGAUGCAAAAUAUUCUUCCGACUAAUUGCUGUGUGGACGAGAUGAUUAAAUGCAUUAUAAAGGGACAAGCUACACACCAAAGGAGAUAUACAUCAUCUAAUACGGGCAAACGUCUUCAUCAUCAGAAAUUAUACUGAAAUAGUCAAGUACUUGAGAGACAGUUCAACAGCAUCUGGAAUUACAUACUGUGUAUGACGGUCACAGUCUUUCUGGCUGGCUCAUCAUAUACAUGUGGGAGAUGACAACAUAAUAGCAUUUUCAUUAUCGGUAGGACUAUGGCAAAUUCCCCUGGCCUGCAUACGAGAAAUGACUCCUCACUUCUCUGAAGAAUGUUAAAGAACAGAGUAGCUACGUGUGCCUUUAAAAAAUGUUUUAUGUGUAGUUCUGUCCUUCAGCUGUUCUUGUCUAUUGAUGUUCUGUAUUAUGUCAUUCUGUAUUAUGUUUCAUGUUCUGUGUUGGACCCCAGGAAGAGUAACUGCUGCUUUUGCAACAGCUAAUGGGGAUCCUAAUAAAAUACCAAAGUAGCA